UAUAUAAUGGCACGAUAUAUUCCAAAGGCCAAAGUUGGAUCGAUGUCUUCGCUCGUGCACAGCCAUCGUAAGACACUUGCUAGGUCCUGUACCAGUCGACUUCUUCGUAUCCAUCGGGCGACUACGAUCGAUCGGAAUCGUUCGUAGCCACCGUGAGUACGGUCGUCAACGAUUCGUCGAAUUAUAAUUUUUGAGGUCGCACGAUCCAUCGUCCAUCGACUCAGACUCGGUGAAAAGAUUCUCUAGGAAACAUCGAACGUUUGCACGUUACGAGACAAACUCGACGCGCGUGUACACGGCAAAGGAUGGCUGGUGCGAAAAGUGAGGCAAAACGUGGCUUUACCGAGAGUUUCGCUGAAAUGUUACUUCGAUUAGAUCGAAGUUUCCAAACGGGACGCGUCGUAGCAUCGUUUUUGCAGGUUUUACAAAAUAAUUGGCGGGAACCACAGUGGCUGGAUGACUUGAUCGUGUUAUACGUUGCAUCUUUUUUAACCGUGCGUUGCGUAACGUCCUCGAAACGACGUGGUAGUGUGUUACGUGGUUUCAGUAAAUUUAAAAGCCAGGAUCGAUGAAUGAAGCGCACGCCUCCUGUGUUCGUAUUUCUAUCGCCGCGUCGUCGAUUGGGUGGAUAGAAACAGAAUAAACGGGAAUUUGCGUCACGUGAAACGGAGCUGCAGAUAUUUUCCAUUGUAUUCAGCUUUGUGAAGUAUAAACGUUUAGAUACUUGGGAUCGGUAUUAGUGCAGCUACUUCUUAUUCGUUUUUUAUCCUUCAAUUUAUUCAAUUUAUUCAAAGACACUUUUAUUUAAACGUUUCUCGGAACACCGUGUGCAAAGCCUCGUAUCAAUCAGCGUACACAUGUAUAUUUUCAGUGGUCAUCGAACACAAAAGUGAAACGUGGAUCAUUUGCAUUGCACAAACUUUAUAGCACACGAACAACGAAAUAUUUUCAAUCGGUAUUACCACCAUUUCUUCUUUUCAUUUUUAUUCAAAAUCGUUUUUCGCUAUACUCGCGUUAUUCGUAUUCCGGAUAAUCCAUUCAUUCAUACACGUAAUAAUAAUAUCCUCUGGAAUAUCGGGCGAAAAAUUAAAUAUUGCUUGUAUACGAGGUGUUUCAAGCGAAACGUCUAAUUACAAAAAUAACAAGUCGAUAAAUAAAUUGUCUAUGAUUAUUCGUGGACGUUCGACCGACUUGCGCGGCAUUUACAAGUACUCAAAGCAACGAGCGGAAAUGGCAGCGAGGGCAAUGACAACGAAUCGCCUAAACGGGUAUUAACCUCGUCGAAGGUAUCGUGUAACGAACUAACGUCAAUUUUUGCUUAGACGCACGAGUUACUUGCGUCCAUUAGAAUGCGUAUGAUGUUCAAGGACGAGGUGAGUUCGUCGACACGAUGUAACUGUAUCGUGUCAUUUGUUGAGAUUAGACGACGGAACCCUUCUUUUUUUACAAGCGAUGCCACGAAUUCUUUAUGAUCGUAUAUAAUUAACGAUUGAAAUAUUCUGUUAAAAUCGUAUUUUUCGUCGUCAUGAAGGAACAAGCAAAUACGUUUAACUCGUAAGCUAAUCGUAAUAUAUUUCUUCUUCUAUGGUUUAACGUUAAUCAUUUCGCGUUGUAGAAAUCCAGCUAUUCUUGUAUCGUUUCUCAAACGUUUUAUUUCAUUUUUAAUGAGUUUGCCGCGUGAUAGAAAAGGAUACAAGGCACGAUCAUGUUAGAAGCCAUUAAACUCGUACCCUUUUGUUAGGAAAGAUAGGCAAACUUUUAUCGAAAAGAAAAUGUAAUUUUCAAUAGCAGACUACGUAAAGGGAAUUUCUGCAUCGUGUCUGCGGAGUACUAUACAACUUCGGUUGAUAGAAGUAGUUGUUAAGAAUAAAUAGAACGUGUCGUCGCUUCCGAACCCUAUGAACGUUAUUGAGUCGGUUCAGCGCGUUCAUCCUUGAUCCGCAUCGUCGUUCUUGUGUAACAAAUCCAAGCUAAUCUUGAGGUUCAUACAGGUGUAAGAUGUCUACCGAAGGUCAAAGUGGGGUUUCGGAAAUUUGAUUUGACCUGACAUCCAGCACUCUGUUCUUUUUAUCGACUAAACGCAUAAUAUAAAUCAUAACGUAAACACGUAACGUGAUCGCGCACAAACAAUUUUAUAAACAUGGUGCCUGUCGUAGAUAUCGAAUUUUUAUCUCGUCGUAGUAUCGUACGACUCACGAUUAUAAUUUUUCCUCCAUCGAAUUUCCCCUAACGUUAUUGAAAUUUGUCUUCUAUUGGAAACGCACCGAUGCUAUUUCUUAGGCGUAUCACUCGGUAUACGAUGGAAAAAUUAAUAUUAACGUUACGACCGACGUUUCCGUUGCUACGAAUCGUUAUAACGACGUCCGUGUAUUCUUUAUUAAACUGAUGAAACGACGAUAUUAAAUUACCACGAAACAAUGUAACAAUAAACGUUCGAUCGACAUGGUACGUUCUUCGUUCUGACGUAUCCACACGAAUAUGAAUCAUUUUUUUGUAAAACAGUUACCCGGAGAAGGGCGAUACGUUCAUGAUGGAACGACAAAACAUCGUCGAAUAGAAAUGAAGCUUACAUUCGUCAUUUUAUCAGAGUAUGGGAUUUUAUACGGGACGUUGCUUGUAACAUAUGUGGGUCAGUACAGUACGUAGAGAAUGAGAGUUUGAUGUAUGAGCCACGUGUCAGAAAUAGACAUGUUGCUCCAGAGAAGAUGGAUAUUCCCUCAAACGACGGAUAUUCUUUUUUAACAAGCAAAAAAAAAGAAAAGGGAGAAAGAGAGAGAGAGAGAGAGAAAAGCAGAAAUAGAAGGAUACGAAGACAAAAAACGACGAAACUCAAAACGCAUCUUCGUUAGAGGGUGUUUACCUAUAGUUUGCAGAACGUGCUCGUAAAUCGAGUUGCAACUAUUGAUUGUCGAUACCGUCCGAUUGUUUCAGUUUACCUCUUUAUGAAUCCGUCUCGUCGAAUUUUAUUUGUUCGCGUAAAUAUCGUUCGUCGUUCAAGAAUAACGAAGGCCGAAAAAGACGCUUGAAAAUACGACGCGCAACACGCUGGAAAUGAUCAAUAGAAAAUUGAAAGUAUCCGUUACACUACUAUGAGAUAGAGACGCAGAUAUGUACAUAUUUUUGCAUUGUAUUCGUAAUCAGUGUCGUCAAGUAUAAACAUCGAAUGCUUUGAAUCGGUAUCAAUGCAGCUACUUCCUUUUUUAUGUGCUUUUUUACUCCUAUUCAAACACAUUCGCAUUGUUCGUAUUCAAAUCCACAUAAUAUACAUACGUAUUUAUAGGAGUUGUAACGUUGCGGUGUAAGGUGACUUCCAAAUAUUAUUAACACGAACGAUAGUCAAUAAUUACUUUUGCUCGUUCUGAAAUGUCACGGUAUUUGUGUGCACAGUCGUGUCAUCUCGAGAUGCAAGUUACUCGAAUAUAACGACUUACUAAACACGUAGUGUGUGUCUUCUUCUUGUCGAGUUGGUAUAUGGAUUUUACUAUGAUGUUUAAGAAAACAUUGUUAAGAUGCUUUGCGCGAGCAACGAGAGACGUACUAACGUCUGUUGAGAACGUUUCAGAGAUACUUGAAAGAAGGAUCUAACGAAAUAAACAGACCUUUGGUAUAGAGAGGCUAAAGUAUAGAGACAAGGCAACGCAUCGUCCAUUUACAACACGUUAUCUUUGAUAAUCGAUUUUUCUGGAAUUUUUCAUUCCACCUGUCGUAGCUGAAUAGAACAACGCGUACGAGCAAACAACGUAUAAAUAGAUAUUCUACAUCUUUUUUCUCCUUUGCCGUACUAAAUAAGAAUAAACGCCUUAACUCCAACAUAAAA
rnacentral:lncRNA from 1 species